rnacentral:ncRNA from 1 species
AAAAAGUUUUAUUCUUUCUUAAAUUUUUGUAAAAAAGCUGAAAUUGUAUGAGAAGCUAUUAGUAUUAAUAAUUUUAAGGUUUUAAAUUAAAAAUUUAUAUAAUUUUUAAAUCUCAGCACAGAUUAUUAAACAAUAAACAAAAGUAUGAUUUAGUAGUGAUUUAAGAUCUGAUAAAAUAUUGUGCCAGCAGUCGCGGUUAGACUUUAAGAUCAAGCAAAAAUUAUCAGUAUAUUAGUUAAAUGAAAAAUAAAUAUAUACAAACUUUAGAUAAAAUAAAGAGUGAAACCAAAAUAUUUAUUUAAAGUUUAAUUAAUUAUUUCAAUUGAUACUAAAAAAAUUUAGAUUUAAACUAGGAUUAGAUACCCUACUAUACUAAAAUUUAAUAAAAAACUAAAAUAUUAUAAGAUAUAGCCUUUAAAUUUAAAGAAUUUGGCGGUAAUUUAGUCUUGCCAGAGGAAUCUGUUUCUUAAUCGAUAAACCACGAAAAAUCUUACUUAUUAUUUAUUAAUAUAAAGUUUGUAUACCGUCAUUAUCAGAUAAUAUUUAAAGAUAUAUUAUUAAAUUUUAGAAACUAAAAUAAAUUAGAUCAAGGUGCAGCUUAUGAAUAAGUUGAAAUGGAUUACAAUUAAGUUUAUAUAAUAACGAAAUAAAAUUUGAAAUAAUUUUAGGAAGGAGGAUUUGGUUGUAAUAGGAAUUAAUAAGGCAAAAAGAUAUAAGCUCUAAAUUAUGUACAUAUCGCCCGUCGCUUUCGUUUAUAGAUGAAAUAAGUCGUAACAUAGUAGAUUUACUGGAAGGUGAAUCUAGACAAAU